GGAAGCGUGGCCGAGUGGUUUAAGGCAGCGGUCUUGAAAACCGCCGUAGGUGUGAGCCUACCGUGAGUUCGAAUCUCACCGCUUCCGCCA
rnacentral:tRNA from 3 species